AAGGAAUAUUGGACAAUGGCCGCAAGGCUGAUCCAGCCAUCCAGCGUGCAGGAAGAAGGCCCUAUGGGUUGUAAACUGCUUUUAUCAGGGAAUAAACCUCUGGAUUCACUCCGGAGCUGAAGGUACCUGAAGAAUAAGCACCGGCUAACUCCGUGCCAGCAGCCGCGGUAAUACGGAGGGUGCGAGCGUUAUCCGGAAUUACUGGGUUUAAAGGGUGCGUAGGCGGCUUUGUAAGUCAGGAGUGAAAGUUUGCGGCUCAACCGUAAAAUUGCUUCUGAUACUGCAUGGCUAGAAUUAGGAUGAGGUCAGCGGAAUGUGGCAUGUAGCGGUGAAAUGCAUAGAUAUGCCAUAGAACACCAAUUGCGAAGGCAGCUGGCUAGACCUGGAUUGACGCUGAGGCACGAAAGCGUGGGGAGCGAAC
rnacentral:rRNA from 1 species